rnacentral:lncRNA from 1 species
UUGCCCCAUCCGAUGGUCCAAAUUGCAUCUAACAUAUGAUCCAAGGGCUGGGAUUGAUUCUGACUUGAUCUGGGGUGUUUUUAAGCUAUUUUCAUGCUGUUUGAUCAUGAUUGGAUGAUGGGCGUGGGUUGAGGAGUUUGACAAUGAUUAAAAAUCCAAAUUUGAUCCAAUUUCAACUAGUUUUUGCUCUAUUUAAAGGGAGAGACUGUGAGAUUUGAGAGAGAUGGUUAGCAGCAGUAAGUAAGGCCAUAGGCCUCUUUAUUAUUUUAUUCUAGAAUUUUUGUAAGGG